UGGGGAAUCUUGGACAAUGGGCGCAAGCCUGAUCCAGCCAUGCCGCGUGAUGGACGAAGUGCUUCGGCACGUAAACAUCUUUUUAUGUGGGAUGAAAUUAUUGACAGUACCACAUGAAUAAGGGGCUCCUAACUCUGUGCCAGCAGCCGCGGUAAUACAGAGGGUGCAAGCGUUAAUCGGAAUUACUGGGCGUAAAGCGCGCGUAGGUGGUUUGUUAAGUUGGAUGUGAAAGCCCCGGGCUCAACCUGGGAACUGCAUCCAAAACUGGCAAGCUAGAGUACGGUAGAGGGUGGUGGAAUUUCCUGUGUAGCGGUGAAAUGCGUAGAUAUAGGAAGGAACACCAGUGGCGAAGGCGACCACCUGGACUGAUACUGACACUGAGGUGCGAAAGCGUGGGGAGCAAACAGGAUUAGAUACCCGUCCCUGAGCGGGCUGGCAAGGCGCAU
rnacentral:rRNA from 1 species